AUUCCAGCUCCAAUAGCGUAUAUUUAAGUUGCUGCAGUUAAAAAGCUCGUAGUUGGAUUUCGGGUGGGAAUGGCCGGUCCGCCGUUUCGGUGUGCACUUGCUACGCCCACCUUGCUGCCGGGGACGUGCUCUUGAGUUUGCGCUCGGGACACGGAGUCGGCGAGGUUACUUUGAGUAAAUUAGAGUGUUCAAAGCAGGCCUACGCUCUGAAUACAUUAGCAUGGAAUAACACGAUAGGACUCUGGCCUAUCUUGUUGGUCUGUAGGACCGGAGUAAUGAUUAAGAGGGACAGUCAGGGGCACUCGUAUUCCGCCGAGAGAGGUGAAAUUCUCAGACCAGCGGAAGACGAACCACUGCGAAAGCAUUUGCCAGGGAUGUUUUCAUCA
rnacentral:rRNA from 1 species